GCUAGUAAAUCUAUCUUUGCAAAGCCAUUAAUUAUAGUAAUUAGAGCUAGGAUAAUUAAUGAUUUUGCAAAGAAGAAUUACUAGCUUAAUCAU
rnacentral:pre_miRNA from 13 species